UACGUAGGGUGCAAGCGUUGUCCGGAAUUAUUGGGCGUAAAGAGCUCGUAGGCGGUUUGUCGCGUCUGCUGUGAAAACUCGGGGCUUAACUCCGGGCCUGCAGUGGGUACGGGCAGACUAGAGUGCGGUAGGGGAGACUGGAAUUCCUGGUGUAGCGGUGAAAUGCGCAGAUAUCAGGAGGAACACCGGUGGCGAAGGCGGGUCUCUGGGCCGUAACUGACGCUGGAGGAGCGAAGCCGUGGGAGCGAACAGG
rnacentral:rRNA from 1 species